rnacentral:rRNA from 1 species
UGGGGAAUAUUGGACAAUGGGCGCAAGCCUGAUCCAGCAAUGCCGCGUGUGUGAAGAAGGCCUGCGGGUUGUAAAGCACUUUCAGUAGAGAAGAAAAGCUUACGGUUAAUACCCGUGAGUCUUGACGUAACCUACAGAAGAAGCACCGGCUAACUCCGUGCCAGCAGCCGCGGUAAUACGGAGGGUGCGAGCGUUAAUCGGAAUUACUGGGCGUAAAGCGCGCGUAGGUGGUUUUGUAAGUCGGAUGUGAAAGCCCGGGGCUUAACCUUGGAAUUGCAUUCGAUACUGCAGAACUAGAGUAUGGUAGAGGGAAGUGGAAUUUCCGGUGUAGCGGUGAAAUGCGUGGAUAUUAGGAAGAACACCAGUGGCGAAGGCGGCUCACUGGCUCGAUACUGACGCUGAGGCGCGAAAGCGUGGGGAGCAAACAGGAUUAGAUACCCCCGUAGUCC